rnacentral:rRNA from 1 species
GGGGAAUCUUGGACAAUGGGCGCAAGCCUGAUCCAGCCAUGCCGCGUGAGUGACGAAGGCCUUAGGGUUGUAAAGCUCUUUUGCCGGGGACGAUAAUGACGGUACCCGGAGAAUAAGUCCCGGCUAACUUCGUGCCAGCAGCCGCGGUAAUACGAAGGGGACUAGCGUUGUUCGGAAUUACUGGGCGUAAAGCGCACGUAGGCGGAUUUGUUAGUCAGGGGUGAAAUCCCGGGGCUCAACCUCGGAACUGCCUUUGAUACUGCAAAUCUCGAGUCCGAUAGAGGUGGGUGGAAUUCCUAGUGUAGAGGUGAAAUUCGUAGAUAUUAGGAAGAACACCGGUGGCGAAGGCGGCCCACUGGAUCGGUACUGACGCUGAGGUGCGAAAGCGUGGGGAGCAAACAG